GAGGUACGCAGAAGAUGAACUAACCUGAGAACUGAUGAACCAAAGAAGAGUCGGAGGUCGAGCAUCACAUAGCUGUCAGCUAUGGUGGCUUGUAGGCGGAUGUGUCUCACACCUAAGUUUUUGCCGCUGGACCGUGGUUACAUUCAUCCUAGCUUGGAGGCAACGGUGUGGGUGGGUAUGCAUGUGCAAGGCGAAGAAGUGGACGAAGGCCAAAGAAGCAAUCUCUGCCUCCCUAUCGCUGCGUCCUGCUCCUCAAUAUGUCACCUUAGUCAUGGCCGCCUUAUCCCUCAUGCUGCUGAUUUGAAUCUGCCCUACUCUUCUUCUCCUAGACUGCUCGAGCGCUUCAGCGGGUGCCUUGCCGACGACAGGGAAGGAAGGACCAGAGUAAGUAUAAUAUGGAAGUUCCUGUUCAAAUUAGUAGAAUAUGCUUACCAGGGGUUAGAAUUUAUAGAUAUAUACCAAUUUGUCACUACAGAUUAUAUAUAAUAUGAAAGUUCUUGUCAGUUUUCUUUGUAGUUAGUUUGCGACAAUCACAACAUGAUCAUUUGAAUAUUUUGUUGUAACAAAUCUAUUAUAGCUAUUGUUGUGAAAGAAAAAUCCUUAAAAAAUCACCCAAUAGCAACCCGAGGAAGUUAAGAGACAUAAAUGAUCCAGAUAUGGUUCCAUUAUGCUCCCUCUGUUCGAUAAUAUAUGACGUUUUCUGGCAGUACACAAUGCCAAAAACGUCUUAUAUUAUGGGAGAGAAGCGAGUUUGUGAUUCUUUUGGUUAUUCUUGAUUCCACAUGCUUCAUUUGGGUGAAUAAUCCAUUGGCAUCCAAAUUUGGAGAUUAAUUCACCUAUGUAAUGUGCAUAAUCAAUGACACAUUUUUGCUAUGAUGAAUAUGUAAAUAAAUUUUGUACAAUUCCAUAAAUACACAGUUAAGCAUUUUUGUUGUAAAGAUAAUGUAGAUAAUUUUUUAUAGCUUUGCAAAUAAGAUUAACCUUGGUGUAUAAAUCCGAUCAGAGUAGAGGUAGCUAUGCAAUGGUCUUGCGACACAUCAUUAGUCUAAGGCUCUAACCACAUUCAUGGAGAAUCUAACAUCCCAACUACGCAUAUCUGUUUGUUCCAGAAGCCACGAAAUUGAGGUACGCAGAAGAUGAACAAACCUGAGAACUGAUGAUCCAAAGAAGAGUCGGAGCUCGAGCAUCACAUAGCUGUCAGCUAUGGUGGCUUGUAGGCGGAUGUGUUUCACACCUAAGUUUUUGCCGCUGGACCAUGGUUACGUUCAUCCUAGCUUGGAGGCAACGGUGUGGGUGGGUAUGCAUGUGCAAGGCGAAGAAGUGGACGAAGGCCGAAGAAGCAAUCUCUGCCUCCCUAUCGCUGCGUCCUGCUCCUCAAUAUGUCACCUUAGUCAUGGCCGCCUUAUCCCUCAUGCUGCUGAUUUGAAUCUGCCCUACUCUUCUUCUCCUAGACUGCUCGAGCGCUUCAGCGGGUGCCUUGCGGACGACAGGGAAGGAAGGACCAGAGUAAGUAUAAUAUGGAAGUUCCUGUUCAAAUUAGUAGAAUAUGCUUACCAGGGGUUAGAAUUUAUAGAUAUAUACCACAAUUUUCACUACAGAUUAAAUAUAAUAUGAAAGUUCUUGUCAGUUUUCUUUGUAGUUAGUUUGCGACAAUCAAAACAUGAUCAUUUGAAUAUUUUGUUGUAACAAAUCUAUUAUAGCUAUUGUUGUGAAAGAAAAAUCCUUAAAAAAUCACCCAAUAGCAACCCGAGGAAGUUAAGAGACAUAAAUGAUCCAGAUAUGGUUCCAUUAUGCUCCCUCUGUUCGAUAAUAUAUGACGUUUUCUGGCAGUACACAAUGCCAAAAACGUCUUAUAUUAUGGGACAGAAGCGAGUUUGUGAUUUUUUUGGUUAUUCUUGAUUCCACAUGCUUCAUUUGGGUGAAUAAUCCAUUGGCAUCCAAAUUUGGAGAUUAAUUCACCUAUGUAAUGUGCAUAAUCAAUGACACAUUUUUGCUAUGAUGAAUAUGUAAAUAAAUUUUGUACAAUUCCAUAAAUACACAGUUAAGCAUUUUUGUUGUAAAGAUAAUGUAGAUAAUUUUUUAUAGCUUUGCAAAUAAGAUUAACCUUGGUGUAUAAAUCCGAUCAGAGUAGAGGUAGCUAUGCAAUGGUCUUGCGUCACAUCAUUAGUCUAAAGCUCUAACCACAUUCAUGGAGAAUCUAACAUCCCAACUACGCAUAUCUGUUUGUUCCAGAAGCCACGAAAUUGAGGUACGCAGAAGAUGAACAAACCUGAGAACUGAUGAUCCAAAGAAGAGUCGGAGCUCGAGCAUCACAUAGCUGUCAGCUAUGGUGGCUUGUAGGCGGAUGUGUCUCACACCUAAGUUUUUGCCGCUGGACCGUGGUUACGUUCAUCCUAGCUUGGAGGCAACGGUGUGGGUGGGUAUGCAUGUGCAAGGCGAAGAAGUGGACGACGGCCGAAGAAGCAAUCUCUGCCUCCCUAUCGCUGCGUCCUGCUCCUCAAUAUGUCACCUUAGUCAUGGCCGCCUUAUCCCUCAUGCUGCUGAUUUGAAUCUGCCCUACUCUUCUUCUCCUAGACUGCUCGAGCGCUUCAGCGGGUGCCUUGCCGACGACAGGGAAGGAAGGACCAGAGUAAGUACAAUAUGGAAGUUCCUGUUCAAAUUAGUAGAAUAUGCUUACUAGGUGUUAGAAUUUAUAGAUAUAUACCACAAUUUUCACUACAGAUUAAAUAUAAUAUGAAAGUUCUUGUUAGUUUUCUUUGUAGUUAGUUUGCGACAAUCACAACAUGACCAUUUGAAUAUUUUGUUGUAACAAAUCUAUUAUAGCUAUUGUUGUGAAAGAAAAAUCCUUAAAAAAUCACCCAAUAGCAACCCGAGGAAGUUAAGAGACAUAAAUGAUCCAGAUAUGGUUCCAUUAUGCUCCCUCUGUUCGAUAAUAUAUGACGUUUUCUGGCAGUACACAAUGCCAAAAACGUCUUAUAUUAUGGGACAGAAGCGAGUUUGUGAUUAUUUUCGGUUAUUCUUGAUUCCACAUGCUUCAUUUGGGUGAAUAAUCCAUUGGCAUCCAAAUUUGGAGAUUAAUUCACCUAUGUAAUGUGCAUAAUCAAUGACACAUUUUUGCUAUGAUGAAUAUGUAAAUAAAUUUUGUACAAUUCCAUAAAUACAUAGUUAAGAAUUUUUGUUGUAAAGAUAAUGUAGAUAAUUUUUUAUAGCUUUGCAAAUAAGAUUAACCUUGGUGUAUAAAUCCGAUCAGAGUAGAGGUAGCUAUGCAAUGGUCUUGCGUCACAUCAUUAGUCUAAGGCUCUAACCACAUUCAUGGAGAAUCUAACAUCUCAACUACGCAUAUCUGUUUGUUGCAGAAGCCACGAAAUUGAGGUACGCAGAAGAUGAACAAACCUGAGAACUGAUGAUCCAAAGAAGAGUCGGAGCUCGAGCAUCACAUAGCUGUCAGCUACGGUGGAUUGUAGGCGGAUGUGUCUCAGACCUAUGUUUUUGCCGCUGGACCGUGGUUACGUUCAUCCUAGCUUGGAGGCAACGGUGUGGGUGGGUAUGCAUGUGCAAGGCGAAGAAGUGGACGAAGGCUGAAGAAGCAAUCUCUGCCUCCCUAUCGCUGCGUCCUGCUCCUCAAUAUGUCACCUUAGUCAUGGCCGCCUUAUCCCUCAUGCUGCUGAUUUGAAUCUGCCCUAAUCUUCUUCUCCUAGACUGCUCGAGCGCUUCAGCGGGUGCCUUGCCGACGACAGGGAAGGAAGGACCAGAGUAAGUAUAAUAUGGAAGUUCCUGUUCAAAUUAGUAGAAUAUGCUUACCAGGUGUUAGAAUUUAUAGAUAUAUACCACAAUUUUCACUACAGAUUAAAUAUAAUAUGAAAGUUCUUGUCAGUUUUCUUUGUAGUUAGUUUGCGACAAUCACAACAUGAUCAUUUGAAUAUUUUGUUGUAACAAAUCUAUUAUAGCUAUUGUUGUGAAAGAAAAAUCCUUAAAAAAUCACCCAAUAGCAACCCAAGGAAGUUAAGAGACAUAAAUGAUCAGAAUAUGGUUCCAUUAUGCUCCCUCUGUUCGAUAAUAUAUGACGUUUUCUGGCAGUACACAAUGCCAAAAACGUCUUAUAUUAUGGGACAGAAGCGAGUUUGUGAUUUUUUUGGUUAUUCUUGAUUCCACAUGCUUCAUUUGGGUGAAUAAUCCAUUGGCAUCCAAAUUUGGAGAUUAAUUCACCUAUGUAAUGUGCAUAAUCAAUGACACAUUUUUGCUAUGAUGAAUAUGUAAAUAAAUUUUGUACAAUUCCAUAAAUACACAGUUAAGCAUUUUUGUUGUAAAGAUAAUGUAGAUAAUUUUUUAUAGCUUUGCAAAUAAGAUUAACCUUGGUGUAUAAAUCCGAUCAGAGUAGAGGUAGCUAUGCAAUGGUCUUGCGUCACAUCAUUAGUCCAAGGCUCUAAGCACAUUCAUGGAGAAUCUAACAUCCCAACUACGCAUAUCUGUUUGUUCCAGAAGCCACGAAAUUGAGGUACGCAGAAGAUGAACAAACCUGAGAACUGAUGAUCCAAAGAAGAGUCGGAGCUCGAGCAUCACAUAGCUGUCAGCUAUGGUGGCUUGUAGGCGGAUGUGUCUCACACCUAAGUUUUUGCCGCUGGACCGUGGUUACGUUCAUCCUAGCUUGGAGGCAACGGUGUGGGUGGGUAUGCAUGUGCAAGGCGAAGAAGUGGACGAAGGCCGAAGAAGCAAUCUCUGCCUCCCUAUCGCUGCGUCCUGCUCCUCAAUAUGUCACCUUAGUCAUGGCCGCCUUAUCCCUCAUGCUGCUGAUUUGAAUCUGCCCUACUCUUCUUCUCCUAGACUGCUCGAGCGCUUCAGCGGGUGCCUUGCCGACGACAGGGAAGGAAGGACCAGAGUAAGUAUAAUAUGGAAGUUCCUGUUCAAAUUAGUAGAAUAUGCUUACUAGGUGUUAGAAUUUAUAGAUAUAUACCACAAUUUUCACUACAGAUUAAAUAUAAUAUGAAAGUUCUUGUUAGUUUUCUUUGUAGUUAGUUUGCGACAAUCACAACAUGACCAUUUGAAUAUUUUGUUGUAACAAAUCUAUUAUAGCUAUUGUUGUGAAAGAAAAAUCCUUAAAAAAUCACCCAAUAGCAACCCGAGGAAGUUAAGAGACAUAAAUGAUCCAGAUAUGGUUCCAUUAUGCUCCCUCUGUUCGAUAAUAUAUGACGUUUUCUGGCAGUACACAAUGCCAAAAACGUCUUAUAUUAUGGGACAGAAGCGAGUUUGUGAUUAUUUUCGGUUAUUCUUGAUUCCACAUGCUUCAUUUGGGUGAAUAAUCCAUUGGCAUCCAAAUUUGGAGAUUAAUUCACCUAUGUAAUGUGCAUAAUCAAUGACACAUUUUUGCUAUGAUGAAUAUGUAAAUAAAUUUUGUACAAUUCCAUAAAUACAUAGUUAAGAAUUUUUGUUGUAAAGAUAAUGUAGAUAAUUUUUUAUAGCUUUGCAAAUAAGAUUAACCUUGGUGUAUAAAUCCGAUCAGAGUAGAGGUAGCUAUGCAAUGGUCUUGCGUCACAUCAUUAGUCUAAGGCUCUAACCACAUUCAUGGAGAAUCUAACAUCUCAACUACGCAUAUCUGUUUGUUGCAGAAGCCACGAAAUUGAGGUACGCAGAAGAUGAACAAACCUGAGAACUGAUGAUCCAAAGAAGAGUCGGAGCUCGAGCAUCACAUAGCUGUCAGCUACGGUGGAUUGUAGGCGGAUGUGUCUCAGACCUAUGUUUUUGCCGCUGGACCGUGGUUACGUUCAUCCUAGCUUGGAGGCAACGGUGUGGGUGGGUAUGCAUGUGCAAGGCGAAGAAGUGGACGAAGGCUGAAGAAGCAAUCUCUGCCUCCCUAUCGCUGCGUCCUGCUCCUCAAUAUGUCACCUUAGUCAUGGCCGCCUUAUCCCUCAUGCUGCUGAUUUGAAUCUGCCCUAAUCUUCUUCUCCUAGACUGCUCGAGCGCUUCAGCGGGUGCCUUGCCGACGACAGGGAAGGAAGGACCAGAGUAAGUAUAAUAUGGAAGUUCCUGUUCAAAUUAGUAGAAUAUGCUUACCAGGUGUUAGAAUUUAUAGAUAUAUACCACAAUUUUCACUACAGAUUAAAUAUAAUAUGAAAGUUCUUGUCAGUUUUCUUUGUAGUUAGUUUGCGACAAUCACAACAUGAUCAUUUGAAUAUUUUGUUGUAACAAAUCUAUUAUAGCUAUUGUUGUGAAAGAAAAAUCCUUAAAAAAUCACCCAAUAGCAACCCAAGGAAGUUAAGAGACAUAAAUGAUCAGAAUAUGGUUCCAUUAUGCUCCCUCUGUUCGAUAAUAUAUGACGUUUUCUGGCAGUACACAAUGCCAAAAACGUCUUAUAUUAUGGGACAGAAGCGAGUUUGUGAUUUUUUUGGUUAUUCUUGAUUCCACAUGCUUCAUUUGGGUGAAUAAUCCAUUGGCAUCCAAAUUUGGAGAUUAAUUCACCUAUGUAAUGUGCAUAAUCAAUGACACAUUUUUGCUAUGAUGAAUAUCUAAAUAAAUUUUGUGCAAUUCCAUAAAUACACAGUUAAGCAUUUUUGUUGUAAAGAUAAUGUAGAUAAUUUUUUAUAGCUUUGCAAAUAAGAUUAACCUUGGUGUAUAAAUCCGAUCAGAGUAGAGGUAGCUAUGCAAUGGUCUUGCGUCACAUCAUUAGUCUAAGGCUCUAACCACAUUCAUGCAGAAUCUAACAUCCCAACUACGCAUAUCUGUUUGUUCCAGAAGCCAAGAAAUUGAGGUACGCAGAAGAUGAACAAUCCUGAGAAUUGAUGAUCGAAUGAAGAGUCGGAGCUCGAGCAUCACAUAGCCGUCAGCUAUGGUGGCUUGUGGGCGGAUGUUUCUCAGAACUAAGUUGUUGCCGCUGGACCGUGGUUACAUUCAUCCUAGCUUGGAGGAAAGGUGCGGGAAGAUAUGCAUGUGCAGGGCGAAGAAGUGGACGAAGGCCGAAGUAGCAAUCUCUGCCUCCCUAUCGCUGCGUCCUGCUCCUCAAUAUGUCACCUUAGUCAUGGCCGCCUUAUCCCUCAUGCUGCUGAUUUGAAUCUGCCCUACUCUUCUUCUCCUAGACUGCUCGAGCAGCGGGUGCCUUGCCGACGACAGGGAAGGAAGGACCAGAGUAAGUAUAAUAUGGAAGUUCCUGUUCAAAUUAGUAGAAUAUGCUUACCAGGGGUUAGAAUUUAUAGAUAUAUACCACAAUUUUCACUACAGAUUAAAUAUAAUAUGAAAGUUCUUGUCAGUUUUCUUUGUAGUUAGUUUGCGACAAUCACAACAUGAUCAUUUGAAUAUUUUGUUGUAACAAAUCUAUUAUAGCUAUUGUUGUGAAAGAAAAAUCCUUAAAAAAUCACCCAAUAGCAACCCGAGGAAGUUAAGAGACAUAAAUGAUCCAGAUAUGGUUCCAUUAUGCUCCCUCUGUUUGAUAAUAUAUGACGUUUUCUGGCAGUACACAAUGCCAAAAACGUCUUAUAUUAUGGGACAGAAGCGAGUUUGUGAUUCUUUUGGUUAUUCUUGAUUCCACAUGCUUCAUUUGGGUGAAUAAUCCAUUGGCAUCCAAAUUUGGAGAUUAAUUCACCUAUGUAAUGUGCAUAAUCAAUGACACAUUUUUGCUAUGAUGAAUAUGUAAAUAAAUUUUGUACAAUUCCAUAAAUACACAGUUAAGCAUUUUUGUUGUAAAGAUAAUGUAGAUAAUUUUUUAUAGCUUUGCAAAUAAGAUUAACCUUGGUGUAUAAAUCCGAUCAGAGUAGAGGUAGCUAUGCAAUGGUCUUGCGUCACAUCAUUAGUCUAAGGCUCUAACCACAUUCAUGGAGAAUCUAACAUCCCAACUACGCAUAUCUGUUUGUUCCAGAAGCCACGAAAUUGAGGUACGCAGAAGAUGAACAAACCUGAGAAUUGAUGAUCGAAUGAAGAGUCGGAGCUCGAGCAUCACAUAGNNNNNNNNNNNNNNNNNNNNNNNNNNNNNNNNNNNNNNNNNNNNNNNNNNNNNNNNNNNNNNNNNNNNNNNNNNNNNNNNNNNNNNNNNNNNNNNNNNNNAGUGGACGAAGGCUGAAGAAGCAAUCUCUGCCUCCCUAUCGCUGCGUCCUGCUCCUCAAUAUGUCACCUUAGUCAUGGCCGCCUUAUCCCUCAUGCUGCUGAUUUGAAUCUGCCCUACUCUUCUUCUCCUAGACUGCUCGAGCGCUUCAGCGGGUGCCUUGCCGACGACAGGGAAGGAAGGACCAGAGUAAGUAUAAUAUGGAAGUUCCUGUUCAAAUUAGUAGAAUAUGCUUACCAGGUGUUAGAAUUUAUAGAUAUAUACCACAAUUUUCACUACAGAUUAAAUAUAAUAUGAAAGUUCUUGUCAGUUUUCUUUGUAGUUAGUUUGCGACAAUCACAACAUGAUCAUUUGAAUAUUUUGUUGUAACAAAUCUAUUAUAGCUAUUGUUGUGAAAGAAAAAUCCUUAAAAAAUCACCCAAUAGCAACCCGAGGAAGUUAAGAGACAUAAAUGAUCCAGAUAUGGUUCCAUUAUGCUCCCUCUGUUUGAUAAUAUAUGAAGUUUUCUGCCAGUACACAAUGCCAAAAACGUCUUAUAUUAUGGGACAGAAGCGAGUUUGUGAUUUUUUUGGUUAUUCUAGAUUCCACAUGCUUCAUUUGGGUGAAUAAUCCAUUGGCAUCCAAAUUUGGAGAUUAAUUCACCUAUGUAAUGUGCAUAAUCAAUGACACAUUUUUGCUUUGAUGAAUAUGUAAAUAAAUUUUGUACAAUUCCAUAAAUACACAGUUAAGCAUUUUUGUUGUAAAGAUAAUGUAGAUAAUUUUUUAUAGCUUUGCAAAUAAGAUUAACCUUGGUGUAUAAAUCCGAUCAGAGUAGAGGUAGCUAUGCAAUGGUCUUGCGUCACAUCAUUAGUCUAAGGCUCUAACCACAUUCAUGGAGAAUCUAACAUCCCAACUACGCAUAUCUGUUUGUUCCAGAAGCCACGAAAUUGAGGUACGCAGAAGAUGAAGAAACCUGAGAAUUGAUGAUCGAAUGAAGAGUCGGAGCUCGAGCAUCACAUAGUCGUCAGCUAUGGUGGCUUGUGGGCGGAUGUUUCUCAGACCUAAGUUGUUGCCGCUGGACCGUGGUUACAUUCAUCCUAGCUUGGAGGAAAUGGUGCGGGAAGAUAUGCAUGUGCUGGGCGAAGAAGUGGACGAAGGCCGAAGUAGCAAUCUCUGCCUCCCUAUCGCUGCGUCCUGCUCCUCACUAUGUCACCUUAGUCAUUGCCGCCUUAUCCCUCAUGCUGCUGAUGUGAAUCUGCCCUACUCUUCUUCUCCUAGACUGCUCGAGCGCUUCAGCGGGUGCCUUGCCGACGACAGGGAAGGAAGGACCAGAGUAAGUAUAAUAUGGAAGUUCCUGUUCAAAUUAGUAGAAUAUGCUUACCAGGUGUUAGAAUUUAUAGAUAUAUACCACAAUUUUCACUACAGAUUAAAUAUAAUAUGAAAGUUCUUGUCAGUUUUCUUUGUAGUUAGUUUGCGAAAAUCACAACAUGAUCAUUUGAAUAUUUUGUUGUAACAAAUCUAUUAUAGCUAUUGUUGUGAAAGAAAAAGCCUUAAAAAAUCACCCAAUAGCAACCCGAGGAAGUUAAGAGACAUAAAUGAUCCAGAUAUGGUUCCAUUAUGCUCCCUCUGUUCGAUAAUAUAUGACGUUUUCUGGCAGUACACAAUGCCAAAAACGUCUUAUAUUAUGGGACAGAAGCGAGUUUGUGAUUCUUUUGGUUAUUCUUGAUUCCACAUGCUUCAUUUGGGUGAAUAAUCCAUUGGCAUCCAAAUUUGGAGAAUAAUUCACCUAUUUAAUGUGCAUAAUCAAUGACACAUUUUUGCUAUGAUGAAUAUGUAAAUAAAUUUUGUACAAUUCCAUAAAUACACAGUUAAGCGUUUUUGUUGUAAAGAUAAUGUAGAUAAUUUUUAUAGCUUUGCAAAUAAGAUUAACCUUGGUGUAUAAAUCGGAUCAGAGUAGAGGUAGCUAUGCAAUGGUCUUGCGUCACAUCAUUAGUCUAAGGCUCUAACCACAUUCAUGGAGAAUCUAACAUCCCAACUAUGCAUAUCUGUUUGUUCCGGAAGCCAAGAAAUUGAGGGACGCAGAAGAUGAACAAAGCUGAGAAUUGAUGAUCGAAUGAAGAGUCGGAGCUCGAGCAUCACAUAGCCGUCAGCUAUGGUGGCUUGUGGGCGGAUGUUUCUCAGACCUAAGUUGUUGCCGCUGGACCGUGGUUACAUUCAUCCUAGCUUGGAGGAAAUGGUGCGGGAAGAUAUGCAUGUGCAGGGCGAAGAAGUGGACGAAGGCCGAAGUAGCAAUCUCUGCCUCCCUAUCGCUGCGUCCUUCUCCUCAAUAUGUCACCUUAGUCAUGGCCGCCUUAUCCCUCAUGCUGCUGAUUUGAAUCUGCCCUACUCUUCUUCUCCUAGACUGCUCGAGCGCUUCAGCGGGUGCCUUCCCAACGACAGGGAAGGAAGGACCAGAGUAAGUAUAAUAUGGAAGUUCUUGUUCAAAUUAGUAGAAUAUGCUUACCAGGUGUUAGAAUUUAUAGAUAUAUACCACAAUUUUCACUACAGAUUAAAUAUAAUAUGAAAGUUCUUGUCAGUUUUCUUUGUAGUUAGUUUGCGACAAUCACAACAUGAUCAUUUGAAUAUUUUGUUGUAACAAAUCUAUUAUAGCUAUUGUUGUGAAAGAAAAAUCCUUAAAAAAUCACCCAAUAGCAACCCGAGGAAGUUAAGAGACAUAAAUGAUCCAGAUAUGGUUCCAUUAUGCUCCCUCUGUUCGAUAAUAUAUGACGUUUUCUGGCAGUACACAAUGCCAAAAACGUCUUAUAUUAUGGGACAGAAGCGAGUUUGUGAUUUUUUUGGUUAUUCUUGAUUCCACAUGCUUCAUUUGGGUGAAUAAUCCAUUGGCAUCCAAAUUUGGAGAUUAAUUCACCUAUGUAAUGUGCAUAAUCAAUGACACAUUUUUGCUAUGAUGAAUAUGUAAAUAAAUUUUGUACAAUUCCAUAAAUACACAGUUAAGCAUUUUUGUUGUAAAGAUAAUGUAGAUAAUUUUUUAUAGCUUUGCAAAUAAGAUUAACCUUGGUGUAUAAAUCCGAUCAGAGUAGACGUAGCUAUGGAAUGGUCUUGCGUCACAUCAUUAGUCUAAGGCUCUAACCACAUUCAUGGAGAAUCUAACAUCCCAACUACGCAUAUCUGUUUGUUCCAGAAGCCAAGAAAUUGAGGUACGCAGAAGAUGAACAAACCUGAGAAUUGAUGAUCGAAUGAAGAGUCGGAGCUCGAGCAUCACAUAGCCGUCAGCUAUGGUGGCUUGUGGGCGGAUGUUUCUCAGACCUAAGUUGUUGCCGCUGGACCGUGGUUACAUUCAUCCUAGCUUGGAGGAAAUGGUGCGGGAAGAUAUGCAUGUGCAGGGCGAAGAAGUGGACGAAGGCCGAAGUAGCAAUCUCUGCCUCCCUAUCGCUGCGUCCUGCUCCUCAAUAUGUCACCUUAGUCAUGGCCGCCUUAUCCCUCAUGCUGCUGAUUUGAAUCUGCCCUACUCUUCUUCUCCUAGACUGCUCGAGCGCUUCAGCGGGUGCCUUGCCGACGACAGGGAAGGAAGGACCAGAGUAAGUAUAAUAUGGAAGUUCCUAUUCAAAUUAGUAGAAUAUGCUUACCAGGUGUUAGAAUUUAUAGAUAUAUACCACAAUUUUCACUACAGAUUAAAUAUAAUAUGAAAGUUCUUGUCAGUUUUCUUUGUAGUUAGUUUGCGACAAUCACAACAUGAUCAUUUGAAUAUUUUGUUGUAACAAAUCUAUUAUAGCUAUUGUUGUGAAAGAAAAAUCCUUAAAAAAAUCACCCAAUAGCAACCCGAGGAAGUUAAGAGACAUAAAUGAUCCAGAUAUGGUUCCAUUAUGCUCCCUCUGUUCGAUAAUAUAUGACGUUUUCUGGCAGUACACAAUGCCAAAAACGUCUUAUAUUAUGGGACAGAAGCGAGUUUGUGAUUUUUUUGGUUAUUCUUGAUUCCACAUGCUUCAUUUGGGUGAAUAAUCCAUUGGCAUCCAAAUUUGGAGAUUAAUUCACCUAUGUAAUGUGCAUAAUCAAUGACACAUUUUUGCUAUGAUGAAUAUGUAAAUAAAUUUUGUACAAUUCCAUAAAUACACAGUUAAGCAUUUUUGUUGUAAAGAUAAUGUAGAUAAUUUUUUAUAGCUUUGCAAAUAAGAUUAACCUUGGUGUAUAAAUCCGAUCAGAGUAGAGGUAGCUAUGCAAUGGUCUUGCGUCACAUCAUUAGUCUAAGGCUCUAACCACAUUCAUGGAGAAUCUAACAUCCCAACUACGCAUAUCUGUUUGUUCCAGAAGCCAAGAAAUUGAGGUACGCAGAAGAUGAACAAACCUGAGAAUUGAUGAUCGAAUGAAGAGUCGGAGCUCGAGCAUCACAUAGCCGUCAGCUAUGGUGGCUUGUGGGCGGAUGUUUCUCAGACCUAAGUUGUUGCCGCUGGACCGUGGUUACAUUCAUCCUAGCUUGGAGGAAAUGGUGCGGGAAGAUAUGCAUGUGCAGGGCGAAGAAGCGGACGAAGGCCGAAGUAGCAAUCUCUGCCUCCCUAUCGCUGCGUCCUGCUCCUCAAUAUGUCACCUUAGUCAUGGCCGCCUUAUCCCUCAUGCUGCUGAUUUGAAUCUGCCCUACUCUUCUUCUCCUAGACUGCUCGAGCGCUUCAGCGGGUGCCUUGCCGACGACAGGGAAGGAAGGACCAGAGUAAGUAUAAUAUGGAAGUUCCUGUUCAAAUUAGUAGAAUAUGCUUACCAGGUGUUAGAAUUUAUAGAUAUAUACCACAAUUUUCACUACAGAUUAAAUAUAAUAUGAAAGUUCUUGUCAGUUUUCUUUGUAGUUAGUUUGCGACAAUCACAACAUGAUCAUUUGAAUAUUUUGUUGUAACAAAUCUAUUAUAGCUAUUGUUGUGAAAGAAAAAUCCUUAAAAAAAUCACCCAAUAGCAACCCGAGGAAGUUAAGAGACAUAAAUGAUCCAGAUAUGGUUCCAUUAUGCUCCCUCUGUUCGAUAAUAUUUGACGUUUUCUGGCAGUACACAAUGCCAAAAACGUCUUAUAUUAUGGGACAGAAGCGAGUUUGUGAUUUUUUUGGUUAUUCUUGAUUCCACAUGCUUCAUUUGGGUGAAUAAUCCAUUGGCAUCCAAAUUUGGAGAUUAAUUCACCUAUGUAAUGUGCAUAAUCAAUGACACAUUUUUGCUAUGAUGAAUAUGUAAAUAAAUUUUGUACAAUUCCAUAAAUACACAGUUAAGCAUUUUUGUUGUAAAGAUAAUGUAGAUAAUUUUUUAUAGCUUUGCAAAUAAGAUUAACCUUGGUGUAUAAAUCCGAUCAGAGUAGAGGUAGCUAUGCAAUGGUCUUGCGUCACAUCAUUAGUCUAAGGCUCUAACCACAUUCAUGGAGAAUCUAACAUCCCAACUACGCAUAUCUGUUUGUUCCAGAAGCCACGAAAUUGAGGUACGCAGAAGAUGAAGAAACCUGAGAAUUGAUGAUCGAAUGAAGAGUCGGAGCUCGAGCAUCACAUAGUCGUCAGCUAUGGUGGCUUGUGGGCGGAUGUUUCUCAGACCUAAGUUGUUGCCGCUGGACCGUGGUUACAUUCAUCCUAGCUUGGAGGAAACGGUGUGGGUGGGUAUGCAUGUGCAGGGCGAAGAAGUGGACGAAGGCCGAAGAAGCAAUCUCUGCCUCCCUAUCGCUGCGUCCUGCUCCUCAAUAUGUCACCUUAGUCAUGGCCGCCUUAUCCCUCAUGCUGCUGAUUUGAAUCUGCCCUACUCUUCUUCUCCUAGACUGCUCGAGCGCUUCAGUGGGUGCCUUGCCGACGACAGGGAAGGAAGGACCAGAGUAAGUAUAAUAUGGAAGUUCCUGUUCAAAUUAGUAGAAUAUGCUUACCAGGGGUUAGAAUUUAUAGAUAUAUACCACAAUUUUCACUACAGAUUAAAUAUAAUAUGAAAGUUCUUGUCAGUUUUCUUUGUAGUUAGUUUGCGACAAUCACAACAUGAUCAUUUGAAUAUUUUGUUGUAACAAAUCUAUUAUAGCUAUUGUUGUGAAAGAAAAAUCCUUAAAAAAUCACCCAAUAGCAACCCGAGGAAGUUAAGAGACAUAAAUGAUCCAGAUAUGGUUCCAUUAUGCUCCCUCUGUUCGAUAAUAUAUGACGUUUUCUGGCAGUACACAAUGCCAAAAACGUCUUAUAUUAUGGGACAGAAGCGAGUUUGUGAUUCUUUUGGUUAUUCUUGAUUCCACAUGCUUCAUUUGGGUGAAUAAUCCAUUGGCAUCCAAAUUUGGAGAUUAAUUCACCUAUGUAAUGUGCAUAAUCAAUGACACAUUUUUGCUAUGAUGAAUAUGUAAAUAAAUUUUGUACAAUUCCAUAAAUACACAGUUAAGCAUUUUUGUUGUAAAGAUAAUGUAGAUAAUUUUUUAUAGCUUUGCAAAUAAGAUUAACCUUGGUGUAUAAAUCCGAUCAGAGUAGAGGUAGCUAUGCAAUGGUCUUGCAUCACAUCAUUAGUCUAAAGCUCUAACCACAUUCAUGGAGAAUCUAACAUCCCAACUACGCAUAUCUGUUUGUUCCAGAAGCCACGAAAUUGAGGUACGCAGAAGAUGAACAAACCUGAGAACUGAUGAUCCAAAGAAGAGUCGGAGCUCGAGCAUCACAUAGUCGUCAGCUAUGGUGGCUUGUAGGCGGAUGUGUCUCACACCUAAGUUUUUGCCGCUGGACCGUGGUUACGUUCAUCCUAGCUUGGAGGCAACGGUGUGGGUGGGUAUGCAUGUGCAGGGCGAAGAAGUGGACGAAGGCCGAAGAAGCAAUCUCUGCCUCCCUAUCGCUGCGUCCUGCUCCUCAAUAUGUCACCUUAGUCAUGGCCGCCUUAUCCCUCAUGCUGCUGAUUUGAAUCUGCCCUACUCUUCUUCUCCUAGACUGCUCGAGCGCUUCAGCGGGUGCCUUGCCGACGACAGGGAAGGAAGGACCAGAGUAAGUAUAAUAUGGAAGUUCCUGUUCAAAUUAGUAGAAUAUGCUUACCAGGUGUUAGAAUUUAUAGAUAUAUACCACAAUUUUCACUACAGAUUAAAUAUAAUAUGAAAGUUCUUGUCAGUUUUCUUUGUAGUUAGUUUGCGACAAUCACAACAUGAUCAUUUGAAUAUUUUGUUGUAACAAAUCUAUUAUAGCUAUUGUUGUGAAAGAAAAAUCCUUAAAAAAUCACCCAAUAGCAACCCGAGGAAGUUAAGAGACAUAAAUGAUCCAGAUAUGGUUCCAUUAUGCUCCCUCUGUUUGAUAAUAUAUGACGUUUUCUGGCAGUACACAAUGCCAAAAACGUCUUAUAUUAUGGGACAGAAGCGAGUUUGUGAUUCUUUUGGUUAUUCUUGAUUCCACAUGCUUCAUUUGGGUGAAUAAUCCAUUGGCAUCCAAAUUUGGAGAUUAAUUCACCUAUUUAAUGUGCAUAGUCAAUGACACAUUUUUGCUAUGAUGAAUAUGUAAAUAAAUUUUGUACAAUUCCAUAAAUACACAGUUAAGCGUUUUUGUUGUAAAGAUAAUGUAGAUAAUUUUUAUAGCUUUGCAAAUAAGAUUAACCUUGGUGUAUAAAUCCGAUCAGAGUAGAGGUAGCUAUGCAAUGGUCUUGCGUCACAUCAUUAGUCUAAGGCUCUAACCACAUUCAUGGAGAAUCUAACAUCCCAACUACGCAUAUCUGUUUGUUCCGGAAGCCAAGAAAUUGAGGGACGCAGAAGAUGAACAAACCUGAGAAUUGAUGAUCGAAUGAAGAGUCGGAGCUCGAGCAUCACAUAGCCGUCAGCUAUGGUGGCUUGUGGGCGGAUGUUUCUCAGACCUAAGUUGUUGCCGCUGGACCGUGGUUACAUUCAUCCUAGCUUGGAGGAAACGGUGCGGGAAGAUAUGCAUGUGCAGGGCGAAGAAGUGGACGAAGGCCGAAGUAGCAAUCUCUGCCUCCCUAUCGCUGCGUCCUUCUCCUCAAUAUGUCACCUUAGUCAUGGCCGCCUUAUCCCUCAUGCUGCUGAUUUGAAUCUGCCCUACUCUUCUUCUCCUAGACUGCUCGAGCGCUUCAGCGGGUGCCUUCCCAACGACAGGGAAGGAAGGACCAGAGUAAGUAUAAUAUGGAAGUUCCUGUUCAAAUUAGUAGAAUAUGCUUACCAGGUGUUAGAAUUUAUAGAUAUAUACCACAAUUUUCACUACAGAUUAAAUAUAAUAUGAAAGUUCUUGUCAGUUUUCUUUGUAGUUAGUUUGCGACAAUCACAACAUGAUCAUUUGAAUAUUUUGUUGUAACAAAUCUAUUAUAGCUAUUGUUGUGAAAGAAAAAUCCUUAAAAAAUCACCCAAUAGCAACCCGAGGAAGUUAAGAGACAUAAAUGAUCCAGAUAUGGUUCCAUUAUGCUCCCUCUGUUCGAUAAUAUAUGACGUUUUCUGGCAGUACACAAUGCCAAAAACGUCUUAUAUUAUGGGACAGAAGCGAGUUUGUGAUUUUUUUGGUUAUUCUAGAUUCCACAUGCUUCAUUUGGGUGAAUAAUCCAUUGGCAUCCAAAUUUGGAGAUUAAUUCACCUAUGUAAUGUGCAUAAUCAAUGACACAUUUUUGCUAUGAUGAAUAUGUAAAUAAAUUUUGUACAAUUCCAUAAAUACACAGUUAAGCAUUUUUGUUGUAAAGAUAAUGUAGAUAAUUUUUUAUAGCUUUGCAAAUAAGAUUAACCUUGGUGUAUAAAUCCGAUCAGAGUAGAGGUAGCUAUGCAAUGGUCUUGCAUCACAUCAUUAGUCUAAGGCUCUAACCACAUUCAUGGAGAAUCUAACAUCCCAACUACGCAUAUCUGUUUGUUCCAGAAGCCAAGAAAUUGAGGUACGCAGAAGAUGAACAAACCUGAGAACUGAUGAUCGAAUGAAGAGUCGGAGCUCGAGCAUCACAUAGCCGUCAGCUAUGGUGGCUUGUGGGCGGAUGUUUCUCAGACCUAAGUUGUUGUCGCUGGACCGUGGUUACAUUCAUCCUAGCUUGGAGGCAACGGUGUGGGUGGGUAUGCAUGUGCAGGGCGAAGAAGUGGACGAAGGCCGAAGAAGCAAUCUCUGCCUCCCUAUCGCUGCGUCCUGCUCCUCAAUAUGUCACCUUAGUCAUGGCCGCCUUAUCCCUCAUGCUGCUGAUUUGAAUCUGCCCUACUCUUCUUCUCCUAGACUGCUCGAGCGCUUCAGCGGGUGCCUUGCCGACGACAGGGAAGGAAGGACCAGAGUAAGUAUAAUAUGGAAGUUCCUGUUCAAAUUAGUAGAAUAUGCUUACCAGGUGUUAGAAUUUAUAGAUAUAUACCACAAUUUUCACUACAGAUUAAAUAUAAUAUGAAAGUUCUUGUCAGUUUUCUUUGUAGUUAGUUUGCGAAAAUCACAACAUGAUCAUUUGAAUAUUUUGUUGUAACAAAUCUAUUAUAGCUAUUGUUGUGAAAGAAAAAGCCUUAAAAAAUCACCCAAUAGCAACCCGAGGAAGUUAAGAGACAUAAAUGAUCCACAUAUGGUUCCAUUAUGCUCCCUCUGUUCGAUAAUAUAUGACGUUUUCUGGCAGUACACAAUGCCAAAAACGUCUUAUAUUAUGGGACAGAAGCGAGUUUGUGAUUCUUUUGGUUAUUCUUGAUUCCACAUGCUUCAUUUGGGUGAAUAAUCCAUUGGCAUCCAAAUUUGGAGAUUAAUUCACCUAUUUAAUGUGCAUAAUCAAUGACACAUUUUUGCUAUGAUGAAUAUGUAAAUAAAUUUUGUACAAUUCCAUAAAUACACAGUUAAGCGUUUUUGUUGUAAAGAUAAUGUAGAUAAUUUUUAUAGCUUUGCAAAUAAGAUUAACCUUGGUGUAUAAAUCCGAUCAGAGUAGAGGUAGCUAUGCAAUGGUCUUGCGUCACAUCAUUAGUCUAAGGCUCUAACCACAUUCAUGGAGAAUCUAACAUCCCAACUACGCAUAUCUGUUUGUUCCGGAAGCCAAGAAAUUGAGGUACGCAGAAGAUGAACAAACCUGAGAACUGAUGAUCCAAAGAAGAGUCGGAGCUCGAGCAUCACAUAGCCGUCAGCUAUGGUGGCUUGUAGGCGGAUGUGUCUCAGACCUAAGUUUUUGCCGCUGGACCGUGGUUACGUUCAUCCUAGCUUGGAGGCAAUGGUGCGGGUGGGUAUGCAUGUGCAGGGCGAAGAAGUGGACGAAGGCCGAAGUAGCAAUCUCUGCCUCCCUAUCGCUGCGUCCUGCUCCUCAAUAUGUCACCUUAGUCAUGGCCGCCUUAUCCCUCAUGCUGCUGAUUUGAAUCUGCCCUACUCUUCUUCUCCUAGACUGCUCGAGCGCUUCAGCGGGUGCCUUCCCAACGACAGGGAAGGAAGGACCAGAGUAAGUAUAAUAUGGAAGUUCCUGUUCAAAUUAGUAGAAUAUGCUUACCAGGUGUUAGAAUUUAUAGAUAUAUACCACAAUUUUCACUACAGAUUAAAUAUAAUAUGAAAGUUCUUGUCAGUUUUCUUUGUAGUUAGUUUGCGACAAUCACAACAUGAUCAUUUGAAUAUUUUGUUGUAACAAAUCUAUUAUAGCUAUUGUUGUGAAAGAAAAAUCCUUAAAAAAUCACCCAAUAGCAACCCGAGGAAGUUAAGAGACAUAAAUGAUCCAGAUAUGGUUCCAUUAUGCUCCCUCUGUUCGAUAAUAUAUGACGUUUUCUGGCAGUACACAAUGCCAAAAACGUCUUAUAUUAUGGGACAGAAGCGAGUUUGUGAUUUUUUUGGUUAUUCUUGAUUCCACAUGCUUCAUUUGGGUGAAUAAUCCAUUGGCAUCCAAAUUUGGAGAUUAAUUCACCUAUGUAAUGUGCAUAAUCAAUGACACAUUUUUGCUAUGAUGAAUAUGUAAAUAAAUUUUGUACAAUUCCAUAAAUACACAGUUAAGCAUUUUUGUUGUAAAGAUAAUGUAGAUAAUUUUUUAUAGCUUUGCAAAUAAGAUUAACCUUGGUGUAUAAAUCCGAUCAGAGUAGAGGUAGCUAUGCAAUGGUCUUGCGUCACAUCAUUAGUCUAAGGCUCUAACCACAUUCAUGGAGAAUCUAACAUCCCAACUACGCAUAUCUGUUUGUUCCAGAAGCCAAGAAAUUGAGGUACGCAGAAGAUGAACAAACCUGAGAAUUGAUGAUCGAAUGAAGAGUCGGAGCUCGAGCAUCACAUAGCCGUCAGCUAUGGUGGCUUGUGGGCGGAUAUUUCUCAGACCUAAGUUGUUGCCGCUGGACCGUGGUUACAUUCAUCCUAGCUUGGAGGAAAUGGUGCGGGAAGAUAUGCAUGUGCAGGGCGAAGAAGUGGACGAAGGCCGAAGCAGCAAUCUCUGCCUCCCUAUCGCUGCGUCCUGCUCCUCAAUAUGUCACCUUAGUCAUGGCCGCCUUAUCCCUCAUGCUGCUGAUUUGAAUCUGCCCUACUCUUCUUCUCCUAGACUGCUCGAGCGCUUCAGCGGGUGCCUUGCCGACGACAGGGAAGGAAGGACCAGAGCAAGUAUAAUAUGGAAGUUCCUGUUCAAAUUAGUAGAAUAUGCUUACCAGGUGUUAGAAUUUAUAGAUAUAUACCACAAUUUUCACUACAGAUUAAAUAUAAUAUGAAAGUUCUUGUCAGUUUUCUUUGUAGUUAGUUUGCGACAAUCACAACAUGAUCAUUUGAAUAUUUUAUUAUAGCUAUUGUUGUGAAAGAAAAAUCCUUAAAAAAUCACCCAAUAGCAACCUGAGGAAGUUAAGAGACAUAAAUGAUCCAGAUAUGGUUCCAUUAUGCUCCCUCUGUUCGAUAAUAUAUGACGUUUUCUGGCAGUACACAAUGCCAAAAACGUCUUAUAUUAUGGGACAGAAGCGAGUUUGUGAUUUUUUUGGUUAUUCUUGAUUCCACAUGCUUCAUUUGGGUGAAUAAUCCACUGGCAUCCAAAUUUGGAGAUUAAUUCACCUAUGUAAUGUGCAUAAUCAAUGACACAUUUUUGCUAUGAUGAAUAUGUAAAUAAAUUUUGUACAAUUCCAUAAAUACACAGUUAAGCAUUUUUGUUGUAAAGAUAAUGUAGAUAAUUUUUUAUAGCUUUGCAAAUAAGAUUAACCUUGGUGUAUAAAUCCGAUCAGAGUAGAGGUAGCUAUGCAAUGGUCUUGCAUCACAUCAUUAGUCUAAGGCUCUAACCACAUUCAUGGAGAAUCUAACAUCUCAACUACGCAUAUCUGUUUGUUGCAGAAGCCACGAAAUUGAGGUACGCAGAAGAUGAACAAACCUGAGAACUGAUGAUCCAAAGAAGAGUCGGAGCUCGAGCAUCACAUAGCUGUCAGCUAUGGUGGCUUGUAGGCGGAUGUGUCUCAGACCUAAGUUUUUGCCGCUGGACCGUGGUUACGUUCAUCCUAGCUUGGAGGCAACGGUGUGGGUGGGUAUGCAUGUGCAAGGCGAAGAAGUGGACGAAGGCCGAAGAAGCAAUCUCUGCCUCCCUAUCGCUGCGUCCUGCUCCUCAAUAUGUCACCUUAGUCAUGGCCGCCUUAUCCCUCAUGCUGCUGAUUUGAACCUACCCUACUCUUCUUCUCCUAGACUGCUCGAGCGCUUCAGCGGUGCCUCGCUGACGACAGGGAAGGAAGGAUCAGAAGUGACGGCUAUAGCCCUAGGAAUUUGGAAACCAUAGGAAUUGAUCUUCUUUAUAAAACGUGUGUGGCAAGGGACGUGGAACCUGCUUCAGGGAAGACGAGAUGGAUCAUGUGAGAGAAGGGACCAGUUUUUUUUGCCAAUUGCCUAGUCCAUAUUGUCCAUGUAUUCGAAGCAUGCAAACGUGUGGCUCCUGGAGUUUGUAUUGCUCUUGGAUAUGUGUAAGCGUUUGGUUUUUUAUUUUUCCCUUUUUUGCUUUCCAAUUCGGACAUGCAUCAGUUCGUACCUGAUUGUAUUAGACUCAAACAAUACGUGUCCAAGUUUUAUUGCUCUUGGAUAUGUGUAAGCGUUUUGUUUUUUAUUUUUCCCUUUUUUGCUCUCCAAUUCGGACAUGCAUCAGUUCGUACCUGAUUGUAUUGGACUCAAACAAUACGUGUCCAAGUUUUUUUAAAACAAUAUGUGUCCAUGUAUUUCUUCCCGUGCGCCCUAGUGUUAUGGUUCUAUAUGCAUCUAACGUGGCAACAUAAAGGUUCAAUAUUGCUGGUACAUAUAUUUUUACAUGUUACAUAGAAACUUUAAAUCUCAGCCGUUGUUAUUCUAAUCAAAUGGUGUAAAAACGAUUAGCAUAUAUGGACAAACGUGAUGGCUUAUUUUACUCUUGUUUUAAUUAUAUAUAUAAUAGAUGGCCGCAGCUAGGCGUAGGUCGGGUGAUAUGCUGGAUUUGUAAACCGCGUUCGCGUCCGUCC
rnacentral:lncRNA from 1 species